rnacentral:rRNA from 1 species
UUAGUUCGUGGAGUGAUUUGUCUGCUUAAUUGCGUUAACGAACGAGACCUUAACCUGCUAAAUAGAAGCGCAUAUCUUCGGAUAAGCGCCUUUCUUCUUAGAGGGACUUUGUGCGAUUAGCGCAGGGAAGUUUGAGGCUAAAACAGG